rnacentral:lncRNA from 1 species
GGGCUGCUAAUUAGAGAGCGGCUAUGGGGCUGUUAAUUAGAGAGCAGCAAUAGGGCUGCUUAAAUAGAGAGCAGCGAUAGGGCUGCUAAUUAGAGAAUAGUGUAAAGGGAGCUGUGAAUUAGAGAGCAGCAAUAGGUCUGUUAAUUUGAACAAAUACAAAUAAAAAGAAGAUAAAUUUUAAUAAAGAGAAAAAAAUGGUCAAAAUUGCCUAACCAUUAUUAAUUACAGAGCAGCAAAAGAGCUGUUUGUUGGCAAAAAUAUAAAUAAAAGAAGGAAAAUGUAGAUAAAGAGAAAAGUGGCCAUCUAAAAAUGCCUAUCUAUAAAUAAUUACAGAGCAGCGAUAGGGGUGACACUAUUUGGCUUUUCUUUGGUGGCACUUGGCUUUUUCUUUAGUGAUUUAGACAUCGUCAGCAUGUUUGAAAUUGUGUCUUUUACCAGCAUAUCGAUAUUGUCAUGCUUCCACUUUUUCGAUCUUUUCAAUGUUUCUGAAAAUACAAAAACAAAUUUUAAAAUAGAAAAAAAAAGAAAAGUGAGGGAACUCUUCAUGAAGGACUUGCCUAACGAUAGUCCUGGCAGCAUGAGAUAAUUUGUUCUGGCUUUGAAUAACAUUGUUGAAGUGUAGAACCUGGCGGUUGUACAAAAGAAACAAAGCAUUGGUGUUUACGUAACAUAAAAAUUCAUGAAAUUUUAUUCUACCUAAAGUUGAUGAGGAGUCUCAUGACAUGAUUAUAGAGAAGGGACCUGCAAUAGCAAAAUUAUGCAAAUGAGACACUGCUUUACAACAUAUUCUGCAGAAGUCGAUAGGGCGAAUUCUUCAAGCCUAAAGGCAGAGGUGACUGUAAUUUCUGAGGAUGGAUUCUUAAGCUUAAAUUCAUAAAUUUUUUCAUGAUAAAUAAGAAUGUACAACUGAAAUAAUUUCUACAGUGUAAUUUACUAACAAUAAUAAAGAAAAAUCGUGGAAGUUUGUAGAAAAGGUUCCUCUAUGAAAACAUUAAUUAUGACAGGAAGUUCGCAACAUUGCAAACAUGUGUGCGCAUUUAUCGAUUUUGGACACUUAUUAAUAUAGGUUUGCCUUUCUUGUAUGUAAUUGCACUCUGAUAUUUCUGAAUCGUCUUGCUUCUUGGCACGGCUCAGGUUUGAUAUUUUUAAAACCGGAGCUGUGUCAAGAAGCAUUAAUCAUGACCCAUCCAAAUGAUACAAAAAUUAAAUUUAAAAAGAGAAAAAGGGGGGAUUUAAAAUGACUUAUAUCUGUCGUAGACCAGAUGUUAAAUCAGGCAUUUGUGAAAUGCCUAAGCAAGUAUUCUCAAUCAUAUUGAAAUUAAAAAUCUUUAACUGAAUUUUGCCAGUUUAAUGCGGUUAAUAAUGACGGCUCAAUUUAAUGCAAAUAAGGAUUCUCAGCUGCAUUCUAAACCAUUUCGGGAACCGUUUCAACAAUUUCUAGACCGAAUAUGAACAAUGAUACGCAUAAAAUACGAAAUUUCACAAUUUUAAAUUCGAAAAUUUAACAGGAAUCGAUUA